rnacentral:rRNA from 1 species
UACGGAGGGGGCUAGCGUUGUUCGGAAUUACUGGGCGUAAAGCGCGUGUAGGCGGCCGUGUAAGUCGGGGGUGAAAGCCCGGGGCUCAACUCCGGGACUGCCUUCCAGACUGCAUAGCUAGAGGAUGAUAGAGGGGUGCGGAAUUCCGGGUGUAGAGGUGAAAUGCGUAGAUAUUCGGAGGAACACCAGUGGCGAAGACGGCGCCCUGGGUCGUUUCUGACGCUGAGACGCGAAAGCGUGGGGAGCCAACGGG